rnacentral:rRNA from 1 species
UACAGAGGGUGCGAGCGUUAAUCGGAAUUACUGGGCGUAAAGCGCGCGUAGGCGGCUUUUCAAGUCGAUUGUGAAAUCCCCCGGGCUUAACCUGGGAACUGCAGUCGAGACUGUCUAGCUAGAGUAUGGGAGAGGGAAGUGGAAUUUCAGGUGUAGCGGUGAAAUGCGUAGAUAUCUGAAGGAACAUCAGUGGCGAAAGCGACUUCCUGGACCAAUACUGACGCUCAUGUGCGAAAGCGUGGGGAGCAACAGG